GUGCACCAGUCGAGAAUUUUUCUCAAUGGGGGCAACCCUGAAGGAGCGACGCCGCGUGGAGGAUGAAGGCUUUCGGGUCGUAAACUCCUGUCAUUUGAGAACAAGUGCCAACAAGUAACUACUGUUGGCUUGAUAGUAUCAGAAGAGGAAGGGACGGCUAACUCUGUGCCAGCAGCCGCGGUAAUACAGAGGUCCCAAGCGUUGUUCGGAUUCAUUGGGCGUAAAGGGUGCGUAGGUGGCGCCGUAAGUGGGGUGUGAAAUUUCGGAGCUUAACUCCGAAACUGCAUUCCAUACUGCGGUGCUUGAGGACUGGAGAGGAGACUGGAAUUCAUGGUGUAGCAGUGAAAUGCGUAGAGAUCAUGAGGAAGACCAGUGGCGAAGGCGGGUCUCUGGACAGUUCCUGACACUGAGGCACGAAGGCUAGGGGAGCGAACGGGAUUAGAUACCCCCGUAGU
rnacentral:rRNA from 1 species